rnacentral:rRNA from 1 species
GACGAACGCUGGCGGCGUGCUUUACACAUGCAAGUCGAGCGAUGAGAUCCCUUCGGGGAAGGAUUAGCGGCGAACGGGUGAGGAACACGUGAGGAAUCUGCCUUCAACACUGGGAUAACUCCGGGAAACCGGGGCUAAUACCGGAUACGAGACCUGCAGGCAUCUGCGGGUCUGGAAAGUUUUUCGGUUGAAGAUGACCUCGCGGCCUAUCAGCUUGUUGGUGAGGUAAUGGCUCACCAAGGCGACGACGGGUAGCCGGCCUGAGAGGGCGACCGGCCACACUGGGACUGAGACACGGCCCAGACUCCUACGGGAGGCAGCAGUGGGGAAUAUUGGGCAAUGGAGGGAACUCUGACCCAGCGACGCCGCGUGCGGGAUGAAGGCCUUCGGGUUGUAAACCGCUUUCAGCAAGGAAGAAGCGAAAGUGACGCUACUUGCAGAAGAAGCACCGGCUAACUAUGUGCC